rnacentral:rRNA from 1 species
GUGGUUGAGAACUGUAUAGUGGAUGCGAGUAUCUUUAUUGUUGUAUGUGUUUGUGCGACGUGGUGUUGUGCAAAGUUGUGUAGUGCGAUCGGUGGAUGCCUUGGCACCAAGAGCCGAUGAAGGACGUUGUGACCUGCGAUAAGCCCUGGGGAGUUGGUGAGCGAGCUGUGAUCCGGGGGUGUCCGAAUGGGGAAACCUGGAAUGUCCGGAGUAGUGUCCGGUGGCCCUGCCCUGAAUGUAUAGGGGUGUGGGUGGUAACGCGGGGAAGUGAAACAUCUUAGUACCCGUAGGAAGAGAAAACAAGUGUGAUUCCGUGAGUAGUGGCGAGCGAAAGCGGAGGAGGCUAAACCGUGUGUGUGUUCAAGCCGGCAGGUGUUGCAUGUGCGGGGUUGUGGGGGCCUUGUGGUUCUGCUGCCGCAGGAUUGGCCAGUGAGAAAUGUUGCGUGAAGGUGAAGCGUCUGGGAAGGCGUACCGGAGUGGGUGAGAGUCCUGUAACUGUAAGCGUGGCACUGGUGUGGGGUUGCCCCGAGUAGCGUGGGACUCGUGGAAUUUCGCGUGAAUCUGGCGGGACCACCCGUCAAGCCUAAAUACUCCUUGGUGACCGAUAGUGGAUGAGUACCGUGAGGGAAGGGUGAAAAGUACCCCGGGAGGGGAGUGAAAGAGUUCCUGAAACCGGUCGCAUGCAAGCCGUCAGAGCCUGUGUGGUGAUGGCGUGCCUUUUGAAGAAUGAGCCUGCGAGUUAGUGAUGCGUGGCGAGGUUAACCCGUGGUGGGGGAGUCGUAGCGAAAGCGAGUCCGAUAAGGGCGUGAGUCGCGUGUUCUAGACCCGAAGCGGUGUGAUCUAUCCAUGGCCAGGAUGAAGCGUCGGUAAGACGUCGUGGAGGUCCGAACCCACUUCAGUUGAAAAUGGAGGGGAUGAGUUGUGGAUAGGGGUGAAAGGCCAAUCAAACACCGUGAUAGCUGGUUCUCCCCGAAAUGCAUUUAGGUGCAGCGUUGCGUGGUUCUUGUUGGAGGUAGAGCACUGGAUGGUCUAGGGGGCUUAUCGGCUUACCGAAAUCAGCCAAACUCCGAAUGCUGGCAAGUGUAGCGUGGCAGUGAGACGGCGGGGGAUAAGCUUCGUCGUCGAGAGGGAAACAGCCCAGAUCAUCAGCUAAGGCCCCUAAGUGGUGACUCAGUGGGAAAGGAUGUGGAGUUGCGUAGACAACCAGGAGGUUGGCUUGGAAGCAGCCAUCCUUGAAAGAGUGCGUAAUAGCUCACUGGUCAAGUGAUUCCGCGCCGAUAAUGUAGCGGGGCUUAAGUUAUCCGCCGAAGCUGUGGCAACCUGUGUGGUUGGGUAGGGGAGCGUCGUGUCAGUGGUGAAGCUGCCGGGUGACUGUGUGGUGGAGUUGAUGCGAGUGAGAAUGCAGGCAUGAGUAGCGUGUGACGGGUGGGAAUCCCGUCCGCCGAUUAUCCAAGGGUUCCAGGGUCAAGUUUGUCUGCCCUGGGUGAGUCGGGUCCUAAGGCGAGGCCGACAGGCGUAGUCGAUGGGUAACCAGUUGAUAUUCUGGUACCGGCUUGUCACCGUCCGUGUCGAGGUGUGUGAUGCUAAGCAUGUGAGCUUGUCUUGGGAGUGUUUUUGAUGCUUCUGGGGUGGGUGAGUGUGUGAACCGAUCAUGUAGUAGGCAAGCUGCGGAGGGACGCAGUGAGGUAGCUCAUCCCCGGUGAUGGUUGUCCGGGGCUAAGUGUGUGGACUGUCUGGUAGGUAAAUCCGCUGGGCGUGAAGGUUGAGGCAUGAUGGGGAGCCCAUGGUUGUGGGUGAGUGAGUGAUCCUGUACUGUCGAGAAAAGCUUCGUGAGCGAGGUGGCGGGUCCGCCCGUACCCUAAACCGACACUGGUGGAUAGGUAGAGUAUACCGAGGCGAUCGAGUGAAUCGUGGUGAAGGAACUCGGCAAAAUGCCCCCGUAACUUUGGGAUAAGGGGGACCUGAGCUGUCGUGCACCCGUGCGGUGUGGUGGCGGUGAGGGGCGCAGAGUCCAGGGGGAAACGACUGUUUACCAAAAACACAGGUCCGUGCGAAGUCGUAAGACGAUGUAUACGGACUGACUCCUGCCCGGUGCUGGAAGGUUAAGGGGAACUGUGAGUGUAUGCGUAGCGGUGAACUUAAGCCCCAGUAAACGGCGGUGGUAACUAUAACCAUCCUAAGGUAGCGAAAUUCCUUGUCGGGUAAGUUCCGACCUGCACGAAUGGAGUAACGAUUUCCCUACUGUCUCCACCAUGAACUCGGUGAAAUUGCAUUACGAGUAAAGAUGCUCGUUACGCGCAGCAGGACGGGAAGACCCCGGGACCUUUACUAUAGUUUGGUAUUGGUGAUUGGGACGGUUUGUGUAGGAUAGGUGGGAGACGUUGAUGCGGCCACGCUAGUGGUGGUGGAGUCGUUGGUGAAAUACCACUCUGAUUGUUCUGGUUAUCUCACUGUGGACCGUGAUCCGGUUCAAGGACAGUGCCUGAUGGGUAGUUUGACUGGGGCGGUCGCCUCCUAAAGGGUAACGGAGGCGCCCAAAGGUUCCCUCAGCCUGGUUGGUAAUCAGGUGGUGAGUGUAAGUGCACAAGGGGGCUUGACUGUGAGACUGACAGGUCGAGCAGGGACGAAAGUCGGGACUAGUGAUCUGACGGUGGCUUGUGGAUGCGCCGUCACUCAACGGAUAAAAGGUACCCCGGGGGAUAACAGGCUGAUCUUGCCCGAGCGCUCAUAGCGACGGCAUGGUUUGGCACCUCGAUGUCGGCUCGUCGCAUCCUGGGGCUGGAGUCGGUCCCAAGGGUUGGGCUGUUCGCCCAUUAAAGCGGCACGCGAGCUGGGUUCAGAACGUCGUGAGACAGUUCGGUCCCUAUCCGCUGCGCGCGGAGGAAUCUUGAGAAGGGCUGUCUUUAGUACGAGAGGACCGAGACGGACUGACCUCUGGUGUGCCAGUUGUUCUGCCAAGAGCAUGGCUGGUUGGCUACGUCGGGUUGUGAUAACCGCUGAAAGCAUCUAAGCGGGAAGCACGCUUCAAGAUAAGGGUUCCCCACAGGAGUGUUCCUGGUAAGGUCCCCGAGAGAUGAUCGGGUUGAUAGGCCAGACGUGGACGCAUCGUAAGGUGUGGAGCUGACUGGUACUAAUAGACCGAGGACUUUCAUUA